AGAGUUUGAUCAUGGCUCAGGAUGAACGCUAGCUACAGGCUUAACACAUGCAAGUCGAGGGGAAACGAUAUUGGAAGCUUGCUUCCGAUAGGCGUCGACCGGGACGUACGGGUGAGUAACGCGUAUCCAACCUGCCCACCACUUGGGGAUAACCUUGCGAAAGUAAGACUAAUACCCAAUGACGUCUCUAGAAGACAUCUGAAAGAGAUUAAAGAUUUAUCGGUGAUGGAUGGGGAUGCGUCUGAUUAGCUUGUUGGCGGGGUAACGGCCCACCAAGGCGACGAUCAGGUAGGGGUUCUGAGAGGAACGGCCCCCCACAUUGGAACUGAGACACGGUCCAAACUCCUACGGGAGGGAGCA
rnacentral:rRNA from 1 species